rnacentral:rRNA from 1 species
GAUGAACGCUGGCGGCGUGCUUAACACAUGCAAGUCGAACGGAAAGGCCCAAUCUUUCUUGGUGACUCGAGUGGCGAACGGGUGAGUAACACGUGGGUGAUCUUCCCUGCACUUCGGGAUAAGCCUUGGAAACUGGGUCUAAUACCGGAUAGGACCACAUUUUGUAUGUUGUGUUGGAAAGUUUUUCGGGGUGGGAUGAGCUCGCGGCCUAUCAGCUGUUUGGUGGGGUAAUGGCCUACCAAGGCGUCGACGGGUAGCCGGCCGGAGAGGGUGUACGGCCAAAUUGGGGGUGGGAUAAGGCCCCGACUCCUACGGGAGGCAGAAGUGGGGAAGAUUGCCCAACGGGAGCAAGCAUGAUGAAGCGACGACGGGGGGGGGAUGACGGCCCUCGGGUUGAAAACUCCUUUCGCUCGGGACGAAGCGUUAUGUGACGGUACAUGGAGAAGAAGCAAAGGCUAACUACGUG